AAAUGCCAAUUAUCAAUAGUCCAAAUAAUAUAAAAAUAUUAAAAAAAAACCUUGGUAAAUACUUAAAUAAUAAAAUACAUAAAUAAAUUAGGUAACAAAUUUGGUAAAUCUAAAAAACAAAAUCACAUAUGGUUAUGUCCGAACAUAGGGUGUCUUUCGUCCUUUGUCAGUUUGGUUUCUCGAUGUCUUUGGUCACACGUCUUAUAAUUUCGGGUAAUAUUAAAUGACCAUACGACUUACUUGGAAACUUAAUUAUGUUAAUUACAGAAUACAUUAUCCAUGGAAAAUGGUGAAACUGAAGAACAAGGUACAUCAGAAGACAGUUUUUUGAAAAACUUGACAAAAGGAUUAGAUGAAAUGCUUUGUUUAGAAGAUGUCUAUAAAGAUAAUUGGGAUAUUGCAGAAAGUUCAUCGAGCGAGAGUGAAUCGAGCCCGAGCGACGAACCAGUAGGCCCUGGUCAUUUGAGUCAAAAUUAAUAAUUUAUUCAAUAUAACUAUUUUUAAUUUUAAUAUUUAUUAUCUAUAAAUGAUACAACAGUCCCAUACCAUUAUAGUCACAAAUUAUUUAUUAUCGAUAAAUUGCUUUAAAUAUUUAAAUUCAUUUAUAAAUUAAAUUGAUUAAAAAUAACAUUAUAAUAUAAAAAAAAAGUCCAUAUUGUAGUAUAAGAUUUAAAGAUCUCAAAUAUUCAGAAACAUAAAAAUGUACAAAGUAAAAUAGUUAAUAUUGUUGUGGAACUAUGUAUUAAAACACAAUUUAAUGAUUCAUUUGUAAUAAAUAUAUAAAUACAACAUGUAAGUUCUAAAGCUAAUUAAGAAAAUCUUGAUAAAAAGUGCAGACUAAAUAUUGGUUCUACCAUCUCAAGCAGUGUCUAAAUAUCUCAUAGAACCCAAUUUAGUAUAGUAUUCCAAUAUGGAGUAGAUAAAGAAAAUGUGAGGUGUUUUAUAAUAAUAUGUACAAGUUUAAAACACAUAAAUGAACUUGUCUUUAUAUAAACUGUUCCUAUUUAUUAUUUACUUAGCUAUUUUUACAUGUAAAGCAUUAGAAGGGACCGGUGCAAUAACCAGCUAACUCAAUUUUUAGUAAUUAUUCACGACGAUCAUAAGGAAAUUCUUAAUUUCAUUUACUACUAUUGGCAGAGGAAAAAUGCGUUUUGUAAAU